rnacentral:rRNA from 1 species
AUUGAACGCUGGCGGCAGGCUUAACACAUGCAAGUCGAGCGAGCGGCGGACGGGUGAGUAAUGUCUGGGAAACUGCCUGAUGGAGGGGGAUAACUACUGGAACCGGUAGCUAAUACCGCAUACCAUCAGAUGUGCCCAGAUGGGAUUAGCUAGUAGGUGGGGUAAUGGCUCACCUAGGAGACGAUCCCUAGCUGGUCUGAGAGGGUGACCAGCCACGCUGGGACUGAGACACGGCCCAGACUCCUACGGGAGGCAGCAGUGGGGAAUAUUGCACAAUGGGCGCAAGCCUGAUGCAGCCAUGCCGCGUGUGUGAAGAAGGUCUUCGGGUUGUAAAGCACUUUCAGCGAGGAGGCGUUACUCGCAGAGGAAGCACCGGCUAACUCCGUGCCAGCAGCCGCGGUAAUUC